CUUUUAGACAGCUAAUACAGUAACUGUUUUGACGCUGAUGGCUAACAUAAACACAGCAAACAGUUAGCUAACUGAGUUAGCUUAGUUAACUAGCUACUGUAUAGGUUUUUGUAGGUUGUGUUAUACCUAUCCCAGGCAGAUCAUUUGGUUUGGCUCGGACAUUUGUUGUAUUGUUGUAGCUAGCUGGUAAGAUUUCAGUGCAGUCAUUUACCUUAGCUAGCUAGCAGCAUGUUAGCAACAACCACAGAAAGAAGUAACGUUAGUGGCAAUAGCUAGUUAGCUAGCAGCAUGUUAGCAACAACAACAGAUGGAAGUAACGUUAGUAGCAAUAGCUAGUUAGCUAGCAGUAUGUUAGCAACAACAACAGAUGGAAGUAACGUUAGUGGCAAUAGCUAGUUAGCUAGCAGCAUGUUAGCAACAACAACAGAUGGAAGUAACGUUAGUAGCAAUAGCUAGUUAGCUAGCAGUAUGUUAGCAACAACAACAGACGGAAGUAACGUUAGUGGCAAUAGCUAGUUAGGCAGCAAACAGUUGGUCCUUUUAUUCACAGGUCUCAAUAUUCGACAGACCAAGGAAGUCAAGGAGGUGAGACCGGUGGCUACAUCAGGGUGAAUCUGCAGUAUUGUGUGAGGUGGGGAAGCUCCAUGCGUCCAUCCAGACUGAGUCGCUCAGCCUCCAACAAGGCCUCUGAAGCCUGGGGCUCCAGUGACCCUGCUGCCCAGCCGGGGAUGACGACGAGGAGGGGGAGGAGUAGUAGUAGGCGGCGGGGGGAGGGUGAAGGGACAGGGCCGGACUGGGACUCUGCUGACUCAAGCAUCGUGAUCUCAGACGAGGCCACGGAUAAUGACCUGAUUGAUCAUCACCAUGGAAACCACAGUGUCUCAGAAUGUGGGUCACCACCGCUAGAGCUGUCAGUCAGCCAGGGGAAGGCUGUGAUUGGUGGAAAGGUGACAGGGCAGAUGGAGAGAGGCGUAGAGUCAGACGCUGAAUCCUGCUGCUCAUUGGACAGCAUUGUCUCUGGCCCCUCCUUCAUUGUUCAAGGCACUCCACUAACUCUUCCCCCUGGUCUGUGUUUGACAUGUCAGAGACUUCACAGAGAAGCCCAGAGGGGAAGACCCACUCCGCUGGACAAACUAACAGACAAUGAUCCCACUUCCUUGUCAUGUGACCAAUGGGUUCUCAUGAAGAAGUGGACACCCAGAAGACCACAGAACAUUAAAGGGAGGCUGUGGAUCCAUCUGGGCCGGAUUAGACACAGAGAGCAGACCAGGGGAGAACAGCCAGCCUGCUCCAGACCACACAUUUUCCUACAGAGGUAACACACACUCACAACCUGAGGAACCUGGGGAGAUAUGAGAACCAGGCUGUGAGCAGAGGGAGGAAGAGGAAGAAGAGGUCCAGAGGAAGUCGUCAGAGGGCGGGAACAUGCAUCCAAAGCAACAGUCUCAACCGCAGUGGUCUCCAUAGCAGCGCUCUCCAUAGCGAUCCUGAUGAAAAGGCGGAGAACAGUGAUGACAGCGGUCUGGAGCGUACACGCAGGGUCCUCACCUUCCAGGUGGUCCCCUCCACCAUUACCAUGGAAACCCAGCAGGAGGCCACGCCCCCACAGGAGGAGGAGCCCAGGAAGAAGAGCGGCGGCUUCAGAUCCCAGCUGGCUCAGCUCCAAGCCAACCGCAGCCGUGUCGUCAGGGAAACACACACAUGACUGAUGACAUCACUGUCAGAUUCCAAAUAUGUUCUUUAUUGCCAUCCUUGAUUGUUUGUCAAUUCUCUACCUGCUUCUGCUCAGUUUGUUCUCCUUCAAGCAUGGCUGGAGGGAGUUACCAUCAUAUCUCUUCCAUUAGAGGGGAUGUGCAUGGAGUUACUAUUUACACAGUGUCUCUUAUACUAGUUGAAUCUAGUUUUGAAUGUAAAUAAUUGUCAUGUUUCUGUUGAAGUUAGUUAUCUGUAUCAGAUCUUCCCUGUUUAUUUCACACUGAAGAAUACAUGUUAUUUUAUUGUAUCUCUUCUGUUCAGAGAUGAGGUCUCUACUACCAGACACAGCUGGGACAGUGCCCUCUACUGAUAUGGCCCGUAUUCAUAAACCUCAGAAUAGGACUGCUGAUCUAGGACCAGAUCAGAAUGAAGGGACAGGGGGUCCUGAUUCUAUUCAGAAUGAAGGGACAGGGGGUCCUGAUUCUAUUCAGAAGGGACAGGGGGUCCUGAUUCUAUUCAGAAUGAAGGGACAUGGGGUCCUGAUUCUAUUCAGAAUGAAGGGACAUGGGUUCCUGAUUCUAUUCAGAAUGAAGGGACAGGGGGUCCUGAUUCUAUUCAGAAUGAAGGGACAGGGGGUCCUGAUUCUAUUCAGAAUGAAGGGACAGGGGGUCCUGAUUCUAUUCAGAAUGAAGGGACAGGGGGUCCUGAUUCUAUUCAGAGGGGACAGGGGUCCUGAUUCUAUUCAGAAUGAAGGGACAGGGGGUCCUGAUUCUAUUCAGAAGGGACAGGGGGUCCUGAUUCUAUUCAGAAUGAAGGGACAGGGGGUCCUGAUCCUAUUCAGAAUGAAGGGACAUGGGGUCCUGAUUCUAUUCAGAAGGGACAGGGGGUCUUGAUUCUAUUCAGAAUGAAGGGACAGGGGGUCCUGAUCCUAUUCAGAAUGAAGGGACAUGGGGUCCUGAUUCUAUUCAGAAGGGACAGGGGGUCUUGAUUCUAUUCAGAAUGAAGGGACAGGGGGUCCUGAUCCUAUUCAGAAUGAAGGGACAGGGGGUCCUGAUCCUAUUCAGAAUGAAGGGACAGGGGGUCCUGAUCCUAUUCAGAAUGAAGGGACAUGGGGUCCUGAUCCUAGAUCAGCACUCCUAUUCAGAGAUGCUUUUAGAAUAUUGACCAAGGCUUGACAUUGCGAUGAAUUUGCUAGUGCCAACUGAAAGCUACUGGCCCGAAUGGGAAAUGAUAUACUGUCCUGGGUUGACAUCUGACAUAAACUCAGCAUAAAAAGAAACGUCCUCUCACUG